GAUGAACGCUAGCGGCAGGCCUAACACAUGCCAGUCGAGGGGUAGAAGGAGCUUGCUCCUUUGAGACCGGCGCACGGGUGCGUAACGCGUAUGCAAUCUACCUUUUACAGGGGAAUAGCCCAGAGAAAUUUGGAUUAAUGCCCCAUAGUAUAUAACCUUCGCAUGUUGGUUAUAUUAAAGUUCCAACGGUACAAGAUGAGCAUGCGUCCCAUUAGUUAGUUGGUAAGGUAACGGCUUACCAAGACGAUGAUGGGUAGGGGUGCUGAGAGGGAGAUACCCCACACUGGAACUGAGGCACAGACCAGUCGCGUACGGGAGGGAGCGGUGAGGUACAUUGUGGGAUGAAGGCUAACGUGACAACGCCAUGCCGGGUACAGGAAGACUCGGAUCGGGAUAGUAUACUGCUUGUAAAGAAGAAGAAACUAAGUAACGUGGCAGGGCUUGACGGUACUGUAGGAAUAAGCAACGGCUAACUACGUG
rnacentral:rRNA from 1 species